rnacentral:rRNA from 1 species
CCUACGGGUGGCAGCAGUGAGGAAUAUUGGUCAAUGGGCGCGAGCCUGAACCAGCCAAGUCGCGUGAGGGAGGACGGCCCUACGGGUUGUAAACCUCUUUUGCCGGGGAGCAACGGGCGCCACGUGUGGCGUCACUGAGAGUACCCGGAGAAAAAGCAUCGGCUAACUCCGUGCCAGCAGCCGCGGUAUUACGGGGGAUGCGAGCGUUAUCCGGUUUUAUUGGGUUUAAGGGAUGCGUAGGCGGAUCGUUAAGUCAGUGGUCAAAUUGCGGGGCUCAACCCCUUCCCGCCAUUGAAACUGGCGUUCUUGAGUGGAAGAGAGGUAAGCGGAAUGCGUGGUGUAGCGGUGAAAUGCAUAGAUAUCACGCAGAACCCCGAUUGCGAAGGCAGCAUGCCGGCUUCCGACUGACGCUGAAGCACGAAAGCGUGGGGAUCGAACAGGAUUAGAUACCCCUGUAGUC